rnacentral:rRNA from 1 species
AUUGAACGCUGGCGGCAGGCCUAACACAUGCAAGUCGAGCGGAUGAAGGGAGCUUGCUCCUGGAUUCAGCGGCGGACGGGUGAGUAAUGCCUAGGAAUCUGCCUGGUAGUGGGGGAUAACGUCCGGAAACGGGCGCUAAUACCGCAUACGUCCUGAGGGAGAAAGUGGGGGAUCUUCGGAACUCACGCUAUCAGAUGAGCCUAGGUCGGAUUAGCUAGUUGGUGGGGUAAAGGCCUACCAAGGCGACGAUCCGUAACUGGUCUGAGAGGAUGAUCAGUCACACUGGAACUGAGACACGGUCCAGACUCCUACGCGAGGCAGCAGUGGGGAAUAUUGGACAAUGGGCGAAUGCCUGAUCCAGCCAUGCCGCGUGUGUGAAGAAGGUCUUCGGAUUGUAGAGCACUUUAAGUUGGGAGGAAGGGCAGUAAGUUAAUACCUUGCUGUUUUGACGUUACCAACAGAAUAAGCACCGGCUAACUUCGUG